CCAGCUUGCUGGGCGGAUUAGUGGCGAACGGGUGAGUAACACGUGAGUAACCUGCCCCUGACUCUGGGAUAAGCGUUGGAAACGACGUCUAAUACUGGAUACGAUCACCGGCCGCAUGGUCUGGUGGUGGAAAGAUUUUUUGGUUGGGGAUGGACUCGCGGCCUAUCAGCUUGUUGGUGAGGUAAUGGCUCACCAAGGCGACGACGGGUAGCCGGCCUGAGAGGGUGACCGGCCACACUGGGACUGAGACACGGCCCAGACUCCUACGGGAGGCAGCAGUGGGGAAUAUUGCACAAU
rnacentral:rRNA from 1 species